rnacentral:rRNA from 1 species
UACGUAGGGUGCAAGCGUUGUCCGGAAUUAUUGGGCGUAAAGAGCUCGUAGGCGGUUUGUCGCGUCUGCCGUGAAAGUCCGGGGCUCAACUCCGGAUCUGCGGUGGGUACGGGCAGACUAGAGUGAUGUAGGGGAGACUGGAAUUCCUGGUGUAGCGGUGAAAUGCGCAGAUAUCAGGAGGAACACCAGCGGCGAAGGCGGCGCUCUGGGCUGGAACUGACGCUGAGGAGCGAAAGCGUGGGGAGCGAACAGG